GACGAACCGAGCGAACGUUGUUCGGAAUCACUGGGCUUAAAGGGCGCGUAGGCGGGUGCUCAAGUCCGGGGUGAAAUCCCACAGCUCAACUGUGGAACUGCCUCGGAUACUGGGCGUCUCGAGUGUGGUAGGGGUAUGCGGAACUAUCGGUGGAGCGGUGAAAUGCGUAGAUAUCGGAAGGAACACCAGUGGCGAAGGCGGUUGCCUGGAGCUUUGCUGACGCUGAGGCGCGAAAGCGUGGGGAGCGAGCCGG
rnacentral:rRNA from 1 species